UGGGGAAUAUUGGACAAUGGGCGCAAGCCUGAUCCAGCAAUGCCGCGUGUGUGAAGAAGGUCUUCGGAUUGUAAAGCACUUUCGGCGGGGACGAUGAUGACGGUACCCGCAGAAGAAGCCCCGGCUAACUUCGUGCCAGCAGCCGCGGUAAUACGAAGGGGGCUAGCGUUGCUCGGAAUGACUGGGCGUAAAGGGCGCGUAGGCGGAAGUUACAGUCAGGCGUGAAAUUCCUGGGCUUAACCUGGGGGCUGCGUUUGAUACGUGACAUCUAGAGUGGGGAAGAGGGUUGUGGAAUUCCCAGUGUAGAGGUGAAAUUCGUAGAUAUUGGGAAGAACACCGGUGGCGAAGGCGGCAACCUGGUCCUUGACUGACGCUGAGGCGCGAAAGCGUGGGGAGCAAACAGGAUUAGAUACCCCCGUAGUCC
rnacentral:rRNA from 1 species